GUGGGGAAUUUUGGACAAUGGGCGCAAGCCUGAUCCAGCCAUGCCGCGUGAGUGAAGAAGGCCUUCGGGUUGUAAAGCUCUUUCGGCGGGGACGAAAUGGCGUGGGCGAAUAUCCCGCGUCGAUGACGGUACCCGUAGAAGAAGCACCGGCUAACUACGUGCCAGCAGCCGCGGUAAUACGUAGGGUGCGAGCGUUAAUCGGAAUUACUGGGCGUAAAGCGUGCGCAGGCGGUCUCGCAAGUCCGAUGUGAAAUCCCCGGGCUCAACCUGGGAACUGCGUUGGAAACUACGAGGCUGGAGUACGGCAGAGGGGGGUGGAAUUCCACGUGUAGCAGUGAAAUGCGUAGAUAUGUGGAGGAACACCGAUGGCGAAGGCAGCCCCCUGGGCUAGUACUGACGCUCAUGCACGAAAGCGUGGGGAGCAAACAGGAUUAGAUACCCUUGUAGUCC
rnacentral:rRNA from 1 species